rfam:Tetranychus urticae London genomic scaffold, scaffold_688
GUUUCUGUGGUGUAGUGGUUAUCACGUUUGCUUUACACGCAAAAGGUCCCCGGUUCGAGCCCGGGCAGAAACA